rnacentral:rRNA from 1 species
UACGAAGGGGGCUAACGUUGUUCGGAAUUACUGGGCGUAAAGCGCGCGUAGGCGGUGAUCUUUGUCAGAGGUGAAAGCCCGGGGCUCAACUCCGGAAUUGCCUUUGAAACGGGAUCGCUUGAGUCCGAGAGAGGAUGGCGGAAUUCCUAGUGUAGAGGUGAAAUUCGUAGAUAUUAGGAAGAACACCGGUGGCGAAGGCGGCCAAUCUGGCUCGGUACUGACGCUCAGGCGCGAAAGCGUGGGGAGCAAACAGG